GCCGCAGAAAGAGAGAGAGAGCCUCAGAGUGGAAUGAACUCAGACGGAGAAGACACACAGACCAGAGAAUCAAAACCAUGAAUGCUGUAAAUUCUGUGCAACUGUUCCUUCUGGUUUGGGCUUUUACUGCAGUCUGUCGAGCUGAUGAUGACAUCAGUAUAAGCUGUGAGGAUGUGACUGGAACUGUGAAGAAAGAAGUAAAUUUCACCUGCAGUGUCCUUCACCAGCGCUCUAAAUGCUGCAUUACACACUAUAAGUUUCUAUACCACUGAGAAAUAUAAAGACUCAGCAAUUCUGUAAGCAAGAGUUUCCUUCAGGACCUCCUGUGAACAGAGGAACAGCUUCACGUGCAGAUACACUCCAACUACAGCAAUGACUGGACAAUUCAGAUUCUUUGUGCA